UAGGACACCAGUUCUAACUCUAAAAUCCCCAGUUUCAACGAUAAAAAUGUUUCUAAGGCUCUGAUGCCGGACGCCCUGACUGCCCAGUUCUACCCCUACGUCCCGGCGCGGACCUACAGCGGCCAUCCAGGCUGGGGUGGGAUGGAGAACUUUCCAUCCUACUGACGCCAGGCGCCGAGCAGCUCCAGCCGCCGGGACGGGGCUGAGCACCUGCUGAAUGCCCCAGGCCUUGUUCUAGCAAGGGACGCCAAAAUUGUUUAAUUAUCACUCUUUUCUACCAUAUCACUGGGUCUUCACAUCACCUGGCAAGAUAAACAAGCAUUACCCAUCUACAAACCAACAAACAGCACCAACGAAGUAACAAUGAAAUCUCCUCUGAGUGUGGGGCGGAAAGGAGUGAUGAGGGUGGAAGGAUAGAAAAGCUAUGGGGGCCGGGGGGCGCUCAGUUGGUUAAGUCUGCCUCCCGCUCAGGUCAUGAUCGUGGGGUCCUGGAAUAGAGCCCCACAACGGGCUCCCUGCUCAGCAGGGUGUCUGCUACUCCCUUUCG